rnacentral:rRNA from 1 species
UACGUAGGGGGCAAGCGUUGUCCGGAUUUAUUGGGCGUAAAGAGCGUGUAGGCGGUUAGGUAGGUCCGUUGUGAAAACUCGAGGCUCAACCUCGAGACGCCGAUGGAAACCAUCUGACUAGAGUCCGGAAGAGGAGAGUGGAAUUCCGAGUGUAGAGGUGAAAUUCGUAGAUAUUCGGAGGAACACCAGUGGCGAAGGCGGCUCACUGGUCCGGUACUGACGCGUGAGGUGCGAAAGCGUGGGGAGCAAACAGG